rnacentral:misc_RNA from 1 species
GAUGAAGAACGUAGCGAAAUGCGAUACGUAAUGUGAAUUGCAGAAUUCAGUGAAUCAUCGAAUCUUUGAACGCAUAUUGCGCUCUCUGGUAUUCCGGAGAGCAUGCUUGUUUGAGUAUCAGUAAACACCUCAACUUCCAUAUCUUUUUUGAAAUGGGAGUUGGACUUGAGUGAUCCCAACGCUUUUCCUCACCGAAAAGUGGCGGGUUACUUGAAAUGCAGGUGCAGCUGGACUUUUCUCUGAGCUAUAAGCAUAUCUAUUUAGUCUGCCUAAAAAACAGAUUAUUACCUUUGCUGCAGCUAACAUAAAGGAGAUUAGUUCUUGUGCUGACUGAUGCAGGAUUCACAAAGACGGCUUCGGCCGACUAUGUAAACUCGAUCUCAAAUCAAGUAAGACUACCCGCUGAACUUAAGCAUAUCAAUAAGCGGAGGA